GUGGUCAUAUGUGCUGUUGCAUGAACUGCUCUUCCCAUUUGACAAACUGCCCACUCUGCCGCCGUCGGAUCGACCAAGUUGUGAAGACCUUUCGCCAUUAGAUGAAGGAUUUUAUGAAAGUUUGAAGUGGCUCAGUUCUGUUCUCGCCAAUUCAACCUGAUGAUUGUACACUUAGAGUGAACGCCAGAGUAUAAUGUAAUCCAAGACCCCUCAAGAGCAAUUUAAUGCCCCCCUUGUCUUUUUAUUCUAGUUUUUUAAGACGGUAAUAUACUUCAAUUACAAAGGACAAUGUAAAGGCGAUCAAUUAAUAUGCUGCGGACAGUGUUUGGG
rnacentral:misc_RNA from 1 species